rnacentral:SRP_RNA from 1 species
GUAUCUCGAAUGGGCCGGGGCGGCGCCAUGUUCCGAACCUGGUCAGGUCCGGGAGGAAGCAGCCAUAAGGGACCGCUGGCGAGCGCCCCUGCCUAUUCGAGAUACUUUU